rnacentral:misc_RNA from 1 species
GGAAUGCGAUAAGUAAUGUGAAUUGCAGAAUUCAGUGAAUCAUCGAAUCUUUGAACGCACAUUGCGCCCGCCAGUAUUCUGGCGGGCAUGCCUGUCCGAGCGUCAUUUCAACCAUCAAGCCCCCGGGCUUGUGUUGGGGACCUGCGGCUGCCCGCAGGCCCUGAAAACCAGUGGCGGGCUCGCUGUCACACCGAGCGUAGUAGCAAUCACCUCGCUCAGGGCGUGCUGCGGGUUCCGGCCGUUAAACAGCCUUACAAAACCCAAGGUUGACCUCGGAUCAGGUAGGAAGACCCGCUGAACUUAAGC